rnacentral:rRNA from 1 species
GAUGAACGCUGGCGGCGUGCCUAAUACAUGCAAGUCGAGCGAACGGACGAGAAGCUUGCUUCUCUGAUGUUAGCGGCGGACGGGUGAGUAACACGUGGAUAACCUACCUAUAAGACUGGGAUAACUUCGGGAAACCGUAGCUAAUACCGGAUAAUAUUUUGAACCGCAUGGUUCAAAAGUGAAAGACGGUCUUGCUGUCACUUAUAGAUGGAUCCGCGCUGCAUUAGCUAGUUGGUAAGGUAACGGCUUACCAAGGCAACGAUGCAUAGCCGACCUGAGAGGGUGAUCGGCCACACUGGAACUGAGACACGGUCCAGACUCCUACGGGAGGCAGCAGUAGGGAAUCUUCCGCAAUGGGCGAAAGCCUGACGGAGCAACGCCGCGUGAGUGAUGAAGGUCUUCGGAUCGUAAAACUCUGUUACUAGGGAAGAACAUAUGUGUAAGUAACUGUGCACAUCUUGACGGUACCUAAUCAGAAAGCCACGGCUAACUACGUG